rnacentral:tRNA from 1 species
GGGCAUAUAGCUCAGCUGGUUAGAGCACGUCGCUUAUAACGACGGGGUCGAUGGUUCAAAUCCAUCUAUGCCCA